AUUAUUUAAAACAAAAAAAAUCAUUUUUUAAUAAAAAAACAAGAACACUUGAAAAAAAAAAAGGAAGAUAAAAGUGAAUGUUGAGAAGAAACAUUGGAAAAGAGCAAAGAAGAGUCAAAACUUAAAAGUUUACAGUUCGGUCACAGUUUGUCGCCCAUCUGCACGUGCGAGUUGUUGAAUCUCACUUGCCCUAAUUGAUUACUUUUUUGAAUUAUUGGGGUCAUAGCUCCCUCUGCAAGGCAUUUUCUACAUAAACUGUUCUUCCGAAUCAAUCAUUCAAAGUUUUUCAAAGAUAGAUUGUGAAAAAAACCCAGAUCAAUAUCUAAAAUCACAAAGGAAUUGGUCCAAUCUAUCUAGUUUUUCCAAAGAAAACAUUUAAACAUCAAUAUCUUUUGUUUACACCCAAGAUCUAAAGGAAAAGGCAGCGAUUUAUAAUUCAUUGAAUCCCAUUCACCAAUUAAGUAAUCAAAUCAAUUGCUCUGCCUGAUAAAAUAGAAAUAAACAACAUUAUAGUAAUUUCUUCGAAUUUAAUUUGAGAUUAAUGCAUAUAUGCGGAUUUUUCCUAUUAUAAUUUCAAUUACCCUAAAAACUAAAAAUCAGUAUAUCUUUUUUAUUCCACAACAAAGAUAUAUAGUAUUCAUUAUUAAGAAUAUUAAAUCAUAGUUGAGUAAUAAUCUCUCUUUAAAAGCAGUCAGCUAGAUCUCAAAA